AUGAACGCUAGCGACAGGCCUAACACAUGCAAGUCAGGGGCAGCACAGGAGCAAUCUGAGGUGGCGACCGGCGCACGGGUGAGUAACACGUAUGCAACCUGCCUGUAAGCGGGGAAUAACCCGUUGAAAGACGGACUAAUACCGCAUAAUACUAAAUUACUGCAUGGUAAUUUAUUUAAACAUUUAUGGCUUACAGAUGGGCAUGCGCAUGAUUAGCUAGUUGGAGAGGUAACGGCUCCCCAAGGCAACGAUCAUUAGGGGUUCUGAGAGGAAGGUCCCCCACACUGGUACUGAGACACGGACCAGACUCCUACGGGAGGCAGCAGUGAGGAAUAUUGGUCAAUGGACGAGAGUCUGAACCAGCCAAGUCGCGUGCAGGAAGAAUGUCCCUAUGGAUUGUAAACUGCUUUUGCAGGGGAAUAAAGUGCAUCACGUGUGAUGUUUUGUAUGUACUCUGCGAAUAAGGAUCGGCUAACUCCGUGCCAGCCGCGGC
rnacentral:rRNA from 1 species